GGUCACGAGUGCCAGCGUCAAGCCCCGGCUUGCUGGUCGGCAACCCUCCACUGCGGCGGGGUGCUCCGGGUGACGACCGGGCUGAGGUUCGAUACCGGACCCGGCAAGCGCGGACU
rnacentral:ncRNA from 2 species